rnacentral:lncRNA from 1 species
GUUUCCUUUGAUCUUUUUUUGUGAUAACUUUCAUAUCAUGCUACUCGCUUGAGAUGGAAAAUUAUCGCUAGAAACUAAGCAUGUACGUGGCUAACGAAAUUGACAUGAAAUUGACAACGUCCUCAUAGGUAAAAUAGCGAUAAAAAGAUUAUCGUUGUUCAUCUCAACUCGAUUGCCUUUCUCGCUUUUGCCGUCCCGGCUCAAGCGAGAAAAUUAAUCUCGUUGAGAUGAUCACCGAUAAUCUAUAAAUAUAUACAAGUAUAUGUACUGUGGAUUCAUUAUUAUUGGCUGGACACCAUUUUUUGUGGAUUUCAUAGAUAAUGAACCUGAAUUUAAAUGUACAAAGAAAUACCAUUAUUUAUAUAAGCUGGUAUGCAGACUUUGAUCAAGACCAUGAAAUUAAAUAUCUAGGAAAAUGUAAUUUUUUAUCCAUCCACGAAAAUUGGUACCAACCAAAAACUAGUGAAUCAUUGUAUAUAAUUUAUGAAGGUAAGCAUAACCGAUGCAUUCCUUUGACGUACAAAAAUUCACUCUUCUACAAUUGUAAUCAAAAUAAACAAUGCAACCCUAGAAAAAAAAACCUUUAAAUUGUGUGAUAUGUUACAAAAUGUAAUUGUGCUAAAUUGUCUGUUUAUGAGAAAAGUAUUGAAUUUAGUAGCCGAAAUUUAACAGUACAUUGUAUUGUAAGUUAUGGAAUUGUCUCUAUUUAUAUGCAAUUU